UUAAGCGACUAAGCGUACACGGUGGAUGCCCUGGCAGUCAGAGGCGAUGAAGGACGUGCUAAUCUGCGAUAAGCGUCGGUGAGGUGAUAUGAACCGUUAUAACCGGCGAUUUCCGAAUGGGGAAACCCAGUGUGUUUCGACACACUAUCAUUAACUGAAUCCAUAGGUUAAUGAGGCGAACCGGGGGAACUGAAACAUCUAAGUACCCCGAGGAAAAGAAAUCAACCGAGAUUCCCCCAGUAGCGGCGAGCGAACGGGGAGGAGCCCAGAGCCUGAAUCAGUGUGUGUGUUAGUGGAAGCGUCUGGAAAGGCGCGCGAUACAGGGUGACAGCCCCGUACACAAAAAUGCACAUGCUGUGAGCUCGAUGAGUAGGGCGGGACACGUGGUAUCCUGUCUGAAUAUGGGGGGACCAUCCUCCAAGGCUAAAUACUCCUGACUGACCGAUAGUGAACCAGUACCGUGAGGGAAAGGCGAAAAGAACCCCGGCGAGGGGAGUGAAAAAGAACCUGAAACCGUGUACGUACAAGCAGUGGGAGCCUCUUAAUGGGGUGACUGCGUACCUUUUGUAUAAUGGGUCAGCGACUUAUAUUCUGUAGCAAGGUUAACCGAAUAGGGGAGCCGAAGGGAAACCGAGUCUUAACUGGGCGUUAAGUUGCAGGGUAUAGACCCGAAACCCGGUGAUCUAGCCAUGGGCAGGUUGAAGGUUGGGUAACACUAACUGGAGGACCGAACCGACUAAUGUUGAAAAAUUAGCGGAUGACUUGUGGCUGGGGGUGAAAGGCCAAUCAAACCGGGAGAUAGCUGGUUCUCCCCGAAAGCUAUUUAGGUAGCGCCUCGUGAAUUCAUCUCCGGGGGUAGAGCACUGUUUCGGCAAGGGGGUCAUCCCGACUUACCAACCCGAUGCAAACUGCGAAUACCGGAGAAUGUUAUCACGGGAGACACACGGCGGGUGCUAACGUCCGUCGUGAAGAGGGAAACAACCCAGACCGCCAGCUAAGGUCCCAAAGUCAUGGUUAAGUGGGAAACGAUGUGGGAAGGCCCAGACAGCCAGGAUGUUGGCUUAGAAGCAGCCAUCAUUUAAAGAAAGCGUAAUAGCUCACUGGUCGAGUCGGCCUGCGCGGAAGAUGUAACGGGGCUAAACCAUGCACCGAAGCUGCGGCAGCGACACUAUGUGUUGUUGGGUAGGGGAGCGUUCUGUAAGCCUGUGAAGGUGGCCUGUGAGGGUUGCUGGAGGUAUCAGAAGUGCGAAUGCUGACAUAAGUAACGAUAAAGCGGGUGAAAAGCCCGCUCGCCGGAAGACCAAGGGUUCCUGUCCAACGUUAAUCGGGGCAGGGUGAGUCGACCCCUAAGGCGAGGCCGAAAGGCGUAGUCGAUGGGAAACAGGUUAAUAUUCCUGUACUUGGUGUUACUGCGAAGGGGGGACGGAGAAGGCUAUGUUGGCCGGGCGACGGUUGUCCCGGUUUAAGCGUGUAGGCUGGUUUUCCAGGCAAAUCCGGAAAACCAAGGCUGAGGCGUGAUGACGAGGCACUACGGUGCUGAAGUGACAAAUGCCCUGCUUCCAGGAAAAGCCUCUAAGCAUCAGGUAACAUCAAAUCGUACCCCAAACCGACACAGGUGGUCAGGUAGAGAAUACCAAGGCGCUUGAGAGAACUCGGGUGAAGGAACUAGGCAAAAUGGUGCCGUAACUUCGGGAGAAGGCACGCUGAUAUGUAGGUGAAGCGACUUGCUCGUGGAGCUGAAAUCAGUCGAAGAUACCAGCUGGCUGCAACUGUUUAUUAAAAACACAGCACUGUGCAAACACGAAAGUGGACGUAUACGGUGUGACGCCUGCCCGGUGCCGGAAGGUUAAUUGAUGGGGUUAGCGGUAACGCGAAGCUCUUGAUCGAAGCCCCGGUAAACGGCGGCCGUAACUAUAACGGUCCUAAGGUAGCGAAAUUCCUUGUCGGGU
rnacentral:rRNA from 1 species